rnacentral:lncRNA from 1 species
UACUGCUCCUGUCCUGCAAUAAACGGCUUCCACUCCUGCUGUAUCAAUCUACACAAGUUGUUCGUCACCCCCCCGGUUAUUUUGCUGCAGCCGGACUGCGGCAGAUGGUGGCCCGUUACGGGGAGCCCCGGGACACUCGGGGGUAAGUGACGGAAAAAAAAAGCUGCCCGUCCAUAGAUAGGACGGGAGCAAAUCUGCUCGUCCCUAGGCAGAUAGGGCGAGAGGAAAAAUGGCCAUUUCGAGAAAAUGGAGAAGAUUGAUGCAGUAUGUUUGUGUCUUGUUUUGUCUCAGUGUAUUGUAUUGUCUUUGUGAUGAAUAUAUGGAAGGGGUGAGAAGUAAAUUACUAAGGGAAGAAGGCACCCCAGUGGAACCAAGAAUAGUUAGGGCAUGUGUUGAUGGAAGCCCAGGAACUCUAGUCAGAAAGAAACAGAAAGUUCAGAAGAAGAAAGAUUCUCAGAGGAGGAAGGAUUAUCAGG